UACGGAGGGGGCUAGCGUUGUUCGGAAUUACUGGGCGUAAAGCGCGCGUAGGCGGCUUUGUAAGUUAGAGGUGAAAGCCCGGAGCUCAACUCCGGAAUUGCCUUUAAGACUGCAUCGCUAGAAUCAUGGAGAGGUGAGUGGAAUUCCGAGUGUAGAGGUGAAAUUCGUAGAUAUUCGGAAAGAACACCAGUGGCGAAGGCGACUCACUGGACAUGUAUUGACGCCUGAGGUGCGAAAGCGUGGGGAGCAAACAGGG
rnacentral:rRNA from 1 species